rnacentral:misc_RNA from 1 species
AACUCCCAAACCCCUGUGAACAUACCUUAAUGUUGCCUCGGCGGAUCAGCCCGCGCCCCGUAAAACGGGACGGCCCGCCAGAGGACCCAAACUCUAAUGUUUCUUAUUGUAACUUCUGAGUAAAACAAACAAAUAAAUCA